rnacentral:tRNA from 1 species
CGCGCGGUGACGAGCAAUCCGGUCGCUCACCAGGCUCAUAACCUGGGGCAUGCAGGUUCGAAUCCUGCCCGCGCUA